AGUCAGAUGGAUGCUAGGCGGGCCUGUGGUGCAGAGGAUGGGAUGACAUAUGCUGGUCAAGCUUUAGAUAUCAAUAUUGCCUCUGAGCCAAAACACAGACCAACAAACAAGACUUCGUCCACAUCUCAAGCUUCCAGUGGUGCAUCUCGAGUUCUCAAUACACAAAGUGGUCCCCCAGCAAAAAAGCAGAGAACAGAUUCUGGGAUGGGUGGAAUAAAAAGAACAUUGGUCAAUCUUACCUCGGGUAAUAGUUCCAGUGCGCCAGCCAGUAAAAGUAUCACUCAGCUUGCACAAGCUGCUAAAGAUGUUUUGAUUUGUGGUGUAUGUAAGACAACCUUCAGUAGCCUACACAGCUUGGCUCAACACAAGAAGACGCCGUGCCGACUCAAGAUCUCUUGUCAAUGUCAAAGUACCCCACCUCCAGAGUCCCCUGAGCCCACCCAGCUGGUGUGUGCCUCGUGUAAUGCGGAGUUCUCUGCUGCCUGGGAUCUCUGUCAGCAUGCUCAGCAGGAACACAGCCUCAGCAUAUACAAAACGGAGGAGGAAACAAUAGAAGUCAAAGAGGAGGUUGUAUUGGUGGAUGGAGACAAUAAUUCAGUCAGCGAGAAUGGCCAGUAAACUAAGGAGGAAUGUUUUUCUAGAUGUACAGGGCGCGGAUCCACAUCACAAGACUGGGCAUGCAUUGGCACAUUGUUAACAGUAGACUGAUCACCCAUAACAUUUUUCAUCCAUGAAUUAAAAUGAACCCUUUUCUGUCCUCCCCAUUGCAUCACUGUAUCUUCUCAUUGGUUCAUGUGGAAAUAAUUUACUAUCAUUCAUCAUGUGUUCAGUGACUCGUUUAAUUUAGUUGUUUUGGAGUGUACUGUGUACAUGUGGAUUUGCAUUCUUUGAAAUUUUUAAAAGACACUUGAUUCAUAAAUUUGUAAUGUACAUAGACUUUAUCAUGAAUUUGUCGUUUGUUCUGAAAUUUUCAGUCGGCAUCUGUUUUUUUUUUUAACCAAUUUGGAAUUUACAUGAUCAUGUGUUUCCUAUGUUUAAUAGAGAUGUUCUUAUCAUUAAUAUCAUGGUUACAACCAUGUAUCAUUUGAUGUAUGGCUAUUUGUAAGUAUUCUUGAAUAUUCUGUAGGAUUUUGAUGUCAACUUUGUGUAUCUUUCUGUAGUCUUUACAUAGUAUGAAAAAAAAAUGUUACCCAGCCUAAUAUUUCAAAUUAAUAAUAUAUUCUGGAAAGAUUUCUUUUUUUUUUAUUUGCAGCAUUUUCAUAGAUAAGUGCACUUUUAAAACAUUUGAUGAACUAUUAAAAUGUUUAAAACUUUUGUUUUCCUGUUAGGCCAUAUUGUUUUUCCAGAUAAAUUUUAGCAGUUUUGCUCCAUUGUUGAAUUGUACUUGAAAAUUUUUAUGUCAAUAAAAAAUGGGCUGGU
rnacentral:misc_RNA from 1 species